GGGCCGACCGAAGGCAGCCCAUCAACAGUUGGACCGAUGUUCGCUUGCGAAAAAAAUAAGCCUGCACGACGGUCUUCGUCUUCCUCGUGGUCGCGACGGGAUCCCGGCCGCCCCAUAGAUCUCUCCCCCACCACGACUUCGCUCGGUUCGCCUUCCAACAUCCCCACCGCUCGCAACGGGAACGGGCCGUGGUCGCCCCCGGAUCCCGGCCGCCAUAUACAUCUCUCCCCACCACGACUCCGCUCCAUUCGUCUUCGAACAGCGGCACAAUGGCAACGGGUUACGCUCUGGCCUGGCUCGAAAGCUGCUUGAUGUUUUGCCACACACGAUUUGAUUGGAUUGCAUGUGCUGCUUUCUCAAGCCCCUCCGAUUUGAUUGGGUUUCGACUGGAUUCUGCAGGUUAGAUUCUACAUCUAUUAACGGGAGAAAUCUUGAUCGCUCCUUUGUGGUAUGCCUUUUCUCUGUUUAUUUUUCGUCAUCCUGCCAAACAAUUAUGUACAAGACCCUUGUGGCCCUUCGGGCAUCAGGGUUACCAUCAUACAGUAUAAUCUACUUUGAAGUAUUUGUUUUGUGGCCCAGAUGUCAACAAUAUGGUCUCAGCUUUCAAUUGUCAAAAUAGUGAAUGUUUUUAGGCCAAAGAACUAAUCAGCUUUGUGGAUAUCAUUGCGUGAAGUUUGGUAGGCAGAGAAAUCUUUUUUUCUGUGCAGAAUUGUUCCCUGUUAUUUUCCAGCCAACAAUUCAGAAUUCAGGCAGUAUCAUGAUAACUUACUUUCAGAUUUUUUUUUACAUUUUCUCUUUGCAAUCUAUAAUCCUAAUUAUGCCUCUUAAUAUCUCAGGUGCUGCAAACUGGUUUAUAUACAAUGUAAUCUGACUGAUUAAUGCAUGGUAUACGUACUUCACACCAUAGAGACUUCAGCUGGUAAUUUGAUGAUCAACUAUCUUGCUAUUUUACACAACCUGUUUUUCCGUGUCUACUUAUUGCCCGCAGGUGAAUUUUGAAAACGUCAUUUCUUAUGGCAGGGAGUCUUUUUUUAGAGGAAAUCCAAUACCAAUUUUUUUUAGUAUUUCCUUAUCUGAGGUAUAUACUGCUGGGAAAAUUAGAUGUUGGAUAUAUCAACACAGGUUACCAUGUACGUACCACAGAACAAAGAAGAUAGAAGUAUCUUCCCUGGCAGAUUUAUUUGGCAAGAUGCAACCUACAUUUAUAAUCCCUUGCAUCACACGUCCUUUGCAACUUUAAGAGGUGUGUUUUGCCUCUCAUAAUGUUUUUCAUUCGGUACGUAAUAAUGUGGAGUACUUCCAGUACAGUACACAUCCCAACAAAAAGAAAUAAUGUCUCUUUUUAGUAUGUAUUCAUACGUGAGAUGCAGAAGAAAAAGGAGUGCUAGCUAAAUAUAAAUAUGAGUGCUCCAAUUUGUCUGUCGAACCCCAAAGGAUGUGUAAUUACAAUUUACACUUGAACAUAGUAUAUAUUACAACA